rnacentral:rRNA from 1 species
AGUGAACGCUGGCGGUAGGCCUAACACAUGCAAGUCGAACGGCAGCACAGUAAGAGCUUGCUCUUACGGGUGGCGAGUGGCGGACGGGUGAGGAAUACAGCGGAAUCUACUUUUUCGUGGGGGAUAACGUAGGGCAACUUACCCCCACCCCGCACACCCCCUACGCGUGACAGCCGGCCCUCCUCGCCCCCUGCCCCACUCAAUGCCCCGAUGUGGGACUAGGCAGUGGGCGGGGUAAAGGCCCACCACGGCGACGCUCCCUAGCUGGUCUGAGAGGAUGAUCAGCCACACUGGAACUGAGACACGGUCCAGACUCCUACGGGAGGCAGCAGUGGGGAAUAUUGGGCAAUGGGGGCAAGCCUGAUCCAGCCAUACCGCGUGGGUGAAGAAGGCCUUCGGGUUGUAAAGCCCUUUUGUUGGGGAAGAAGAGCAGCAGGUUAAUAGCCCGCGGUUCUGACGGUACCCAAAGAAGAAGCACCGGCUAACUUCGUG